UGUUGUUUCAGCAUCAUCAGAAUUCUAAAUUGGCUCACUGGUAAUCAAGUUUUACCCAGCAACAAGCAGACCAAUAGGAACUGACUCUGCAGCUUGCCUGCUGCUGCGCACUGAGACUUUGCAUGGACGACGCGGUCUUUUCUUCGACGGCCUAACAUUGGUGUACCCUUUUUCCGCUGUUUUCGCAUUUUGCGGGUAUUUCCCCAAUUGAAGACAAAGGUGACGUUACUAACUUCACAGCGGGCCGCCCUUCAGAACAUCUUGCCUUCGACAACGAGGAGAGUUGGUUGACCACUGCCUUUGGUAACAGCCCACUCACUGCCAAGAUGUUCAUGGUUGCAGUGGACCAGGUUAUAAUCACUGAACAGCUUCCCAGCUUUACUAAAGCUUUCCAGAUGAUGUUCUGCUCAUAUUACCUGCACAACAUUGACUAUCCAGUGGAACUUGCAGCUACACUGGAGUUCUGCCAGAGAUAUCUGAUGUUUGAAAGAGUUUUGUUUUGAUUUUGUUUAUUGUAAUGGUAACCGAGUGAAUGAGGCCUGUUUUUGUUGUAUGAUGUUCAUGAUGAAGUUCCUUGAUAUGUCCAGGACUGUAAACAUCCAAGGUCAUUUUAACAAAAAAUGUGCCUUUUCUGCCAAGGCCUUUUGCAUAAAAUAAAGGGUGUUUCUUCCUUCACUGCCA